UACGAAGGGGGCUAGCGUUGCUCGGAAUCACUGGGCGUAAAGGGUGCGUAGGCGGGUCUUUAAGUCAGGGGGGAAAUCCUGGAGCUCAACUCCAGAACUGCCUUUGAUACUGAAGAUCUUGAGUUCGGGAGAGGUGAGUGGAACUGCGAGUGUAGAGGUGAAAUUCGUAGAUAUUCGCAAGAACACCAGUGGCGAAGGCGGCUCACUGGACCGGCAUUGACGCUGAGGUGCGAAAGCGUGGGGAGCAAACAGG
rnacentral:rRNA from 1 species